CACAGAGCGAGGCCAGGUGACGGGGGACCUGUUCACCACCAGGUUCCUCAUGCAGCCAUGGUAGGCCAGAGGCCCAGCCUGUGUGUUCGUGGGCCCUGGGGGCACAAAGGAAGAUGGGCAGAGCAGACGGCUGAACUCCA